GAGAGUAAACACAGUGAAGAGUAAACACAGUGAAGAGUAAACCCUGAGUAAACACAGUGAAGAGUAAACACAGUGAAGAGUAAACCACAAGUAAACCCUGAGUAAACACAGUGAAGAGUAAACACAUGAAAGAGUAAACACAGUGAAGAGUAAACACAGUGAAGAGUAAACCCUGAGUAAACCAGUGAAGAGUAAACACAGUGAAGAGUAAACACAGUGAAGAGUAACCCCUGAGUAAACACAGUGAAGAGUAAACACAGUGAAGAGUAAACCCUGAGUAAACACAGUGAAGAGUAAACACAGUGAAGAGUAAACACAGUGAAGAGUAAACACAGUGAAGAAGACACCCUGAGUAAACACAGUGAAGAGUAAACACAGUGAAGAGUAAACACAGUGAAGAGUAAACCCUGAGUAAACACAGUGAAGAGUAAACACAGUGAAGAGUAAACACAGUGAAGAGUAAACACAGUGAAGAGUAAACCCUGAGUAAACACAGUGAAGAGUAAACACAGUGAAGAGUAAACACAGUGAAGAGUAAACACAGUGAAUGGAAACACGAUGAAGGUGUUGGGUUUCGCUGCAGGAAUAAAAAGCAAGUGCGACAGUCAGGGUCUCCAGAAGAACCGUGUCUGAGGAUGCUCAGUAACAUGUGCAGCUCAUUUCCUUAUUAAGCUGCACACACUGUACCUGAGGAUACAGAUGUUGCUUUCAAAAAGCAAAGAGUCGUCACACCAAAUUUUCAGGUUGUUUACUUUAGUACCGUUGACUCCUAUUUAUCGUACCUCUGUAACGUAGAAACAUUUCAUUUCAUUAUUUCUGGAGGCGUCUUUGCUCUACAGCGUUCCUUUGCAUGAACUGUAUAUACACACUGUGCAUUUAGAAUUGAUUUAAAAUUGAUUUAGAGAUUCUGCUUCCUUUUGUUUUUUCUUGCUUGUUGACCUGAGUGGCACACGGGUCAUGUUCCGUUAGUCAUGUGACUCUUCUUAUUCCGGAGAUUUUCAGUGCCGAGACCUUCAUAAACAGGUUUCCGUGAGCCGAGACAAAGCUUGGUGUUUUGUUUUGUUUUGUUUUUUUUAUAACUCUGCAUGUGAUCCUGCAUUACAGUGAGAUUAACCUCGCUCUGCUCAUUUUCCUUUUUUAGCACCGUUCCCUUUCUUUAGAUUGAACAGCCGUUAUAAUUCCACAGCUUUAUUCUUUCAACACCCAUAUUAUACACCGAUCAGCCAUAACAUUAAAUCCACCUGCCUAAUAUUGUGUAGGUCCUCCUCUCCUUGUGCCACCAGAACAGCUCUGAGGUGUAGAGGCAUGGACUCCACAAGACCUCUGAAGGUGUGCUGUGGUAUCUGGCACCUAGACGUUAGCACCAGAUCCUUUAAGUUCUGUAAGUUGUGAGGUGGACCUCCGUGGAUCUGACUUGUUUGUCCAGAACGUCCCACAG
ensembl:lncRNA